UACGUAGGGGGCAAGCGUUGUCCGGAAUCAUUGGGCGUAAAGAGCGUGUAGGCGGCUUGGUAAGUCCGCUGUGAAAGUCCAGGGCUCAACCCUGGAAAGCCGGUGGAAACUGUCAAGCUUGAGUCCGGAAGAGGCGAGUGGAAUUCCUGGUGUAGCGGUGAAAUGCGCAGAUAUCAGGAGGAACACCAAUGGCGAAGGCAGCUCGCUGGGACGGUAGCUGACGCUGAGACGCGAAAGCGUGGGGAGCAAACAGG
rnacentral:rRNA from 1 species